UUAAAUAAGGACUGGUAUGAAUGGGACCACGCCGUUUACACUGUCUCCUCUUUCUAAUCAGUGAAACUAAUCUCCCCGUGAAGAAGCUGGGAUUUUUUUAUAAGACGAGAAGACCCUAUGGAGCUUUAAACUACUAACACUUGCUGCCAUUCACUCCCCUUCCAGAAACUUUUUAUUAAGCAUAGCAUCAUGAUUUAUAGUUUUCGAUUGGGGUGAUCACGGAGUAAAAAACAACCUCCAUGCCGAAAGGGCCUCCUCCCCUGAGCCAAAAGCUACAACUUAAAGCACUAAAAAAAUUAACGUUUAUUGACCCAAUAAUUUUGAUCAACGAACCAAGUUACCCUAGGGAUAACAGCGCAAUCCACUUCAAGAGCUCCUAUCGACAAGUGGGUUUACGACCUCGAUGUUGGAUCAGGGUAUCCCAGUGGUGCAGCCGCUACUAA
rnacentral:rRNA from 1 species